rnacentral:rRNA from 1 species
AAACCGUUCGGGGGUAAACGGACAGAGCCCGUGAAUCCGGGCGACGGAAUUCAGAAUCGGCGGCGUUCGCGCGUCGCCGGUUCGAUAUUUCCGUCGCCAUCGCACAAUACGGACGUCGCGACCCGUUCGGUGUCGGUCUGCAGGAGACGUGCGAAAGUUCGUGGGCGUCGAUCGGGUUUCGGCUCGGCUGGCGUUCGCGAGUGCGCGUUUUUUUUCACUGGCCGACUCGCCGGACGGUAAGCGAAGCGGUGAUCGCGGCGGCCUCUUGUCGGCGCCGUCGCGUUACCGGUCAGCGACGAAUCUUCGGGCCUCUUUCCGA